UGUCAACUCGAUUCCGAUGAAGAUAGUUCAACCCAAGUGUCACUCAAUGAUGUAGCUUCAAUAUGGACACAAGUGGUUGGUGGCGCAAAGAAAGAAUCACGAAGAGGUGGAAGCAUUAUGAAAAGAAGUUGAAGAGUUGAAGGAGGAAUGUAAAGAAGAUCGCACAAAUUUUAACAAAUUGCAGAGUCUAGUGGAGAAAUUUAUGAGUGGACGUCCAUUUGAUCCUUCGAAUGGCGAUGAUGGCGGGGAUAAUGAGUUUUAGUUUGUUAUGGUAGUGAUGUUUGAAACAUUAUUAUUUGUUGUGGUUAGAUGUUUAGACUUGGUAAUGUUUACACUUGACUAUGAUUGUAAUAUUUAAGACUAGAUUGAAUGGUGCUUGAAUGUUUAACUUUUUUUGGAUAUUUUAGUUACAAAUAUUUAUAUUUUCUAUA